UGCGACCGCCUGGUCUCUGGAAGUAUGUGUGCUGGUCGCGCCCAGCCGCCUCACCCAAAACUGGUGUCUGUGGGACAGUGUAAGCGUCCCUUCGAGGUCGGACCCCGUCUUUAGGGCACGACCCCUAAAGUUAGGUCUGAAGACCCGUGGGCAGCCUGAGCGCUCCAACUAGCCCUGGAAACGUUUUUCCGUACAGCAACAUGGCGGCGCCCGUGGACUCUUAGUAAAGAAGAAAGCUUUUUUUUCUGUGGACUGAAAGGGGCGUUUUUCAUGAUCAGUAUUUAGAUGGGUGCUGUUUUCAUGAGGAGAGUCUGGGAAGGCGGCGUCCGCUUCUCUGACAAGGGAAGAGGAUACUUUGUCCUUUUAAGGAUUCAGUGACUUCGUGACUUGGAGGAUAGUGGCUAGACCCAAGGACCAAAGCAAGAAGUCGUGGGGGGCCCAGAAAGACAGGAGGAUCACAUUGAGAUUCCAGACAUAAGAUCAGGUUUUAACCCCUUUUGGCCAAAUUUAGGCUGAAAAUGUUGAAUUAUCAACUCUGAAGUUAAAAAGAAAGUUUAUAUUAAAACAUUGCAAUUUUCCUUAGAAUUUCUGUAUAUAUUAACAUAUCAUGAAUGCUAAAUUCUCUUCAAUGUGCAUGUCAGGUUUAUGUACUUGUACAUCACAUCUGUGUGUAUGAAGUGUAUGUUUAUUGAAAUACAAGACAUUUAAGAAGCUGAUCUGGGAAGUUGGAUUUUACUUCUAGUUCCUAAUUCCCAGAGGCUUUUUUAAAGGAAGGGAAUGUCUGUGGUUCACCAGUUGUCAGCUGGGUGGUUACUGGAUCAUCUUUCUUUUAUCAACAAGAUAAACUAUCAACUUCACCAGCAUCAUGAACCUUGUUGCAGUAAAAAUGAGUUCACUACUUCUGUUCACUUUGAGUCUCUUCAAAUGGAUUCUGUGUCCUCUUCUGGAGCCUGUGCUGCAUUUAUUGCUUCUGACCCUACCACUAAGCCAGAGAAUGAUGAUGGAGGAAAUUAUGAAAUGUUAACACAAAAAUUUGUUUUUCGACCUGAACUGUUUGAUGUCACCAAACCUUAUAUAACUCCAGCUGUUCACAAAGAAUGCCAGCAAAGUAAUGAAAAGGAAGAUCUGAUGAAUGGUGUUAAAAAAGAAAUCUCCAUUUCCAUUAUUGGGAAGAAGCGUAAAAGAUGUGUUGUUUUCAAUCAAGGUGAAUUGGAUGCGAUGGAAUACCAUACAAAGAUCAGGGAGCUGAUUUUGGAUGGAUCUUUACAAUUGAUCCAGGAAGGUCUCAAAAGUGGUUUUCUUUAUCCACUUUUUGAAAAACAGGACAAGUGUAGUAAGCCCAUUACUUUACCACUUGACACCUGCAAUUUGCCAGAAUUAUGUGAAAUGGCAAAGCAUUUGCCUUCUCUGAAUGAAAUGGAACAUCAGACAUUGCAAUUGGUGGAAGAGGAUACAUCUGUUACAGAACAGGAUUUAUUUUUGCGAGUUGUUGAAAACAACUCUAGCUUUACAAAAGUGAUUACUUUAAUGGGACAAAAAUACCUGCUACCACCGAAAAGCAGUUUUCUUUUAUCUGACAUUUCUUGUAUGCAACCACUUCUGAACUAUAGGAAAACAUUUGAUGUAAUUGUGAUAGAUCCGCCAUGGCAGAACAAAUCAGUUAAAAGAAGUAAUAGGUACAGUUAUUUGUCACCCCUGCAAAUAAAGCAAAUACCUAUCCCUAAAUUGGCUGCUCCAAACUGUCUUCUUGUUACUUGGGUGACCAAUAGACAGAAACACCUACGUUUUAUAAAGGAAGAACUUUAUCCCUCUUGGUCUGUGGAGGUAGUUGCUGAGUGGCACUGGGUAAAAAUCACCAAUUCAGGAGAGUUCGUGUUCCCAUUAGAUUCUCCACACAAAAAGCCUUAUGAAGGUCUUAUACUGGGGAGAGUUCAAGAAAAAACUGCUCUACCAUUGAGGAAUGCAGAUGUAAACGUGCUCCCCAUUCCAGACCACAAAUUAAUUGUCAGCGUGCCCUGUACUCUUCACUCACAUAAGCCACCGCUUGCUGAGGUUUUAAAAGACUACAUCAAGCCAGAUGGGGAAUAUUUGGAAUUGUUUGCUCGAAAUUUACAGCCAGGUUGGACUAGUUGGGGCAAUGAAGUUCUCAAAUUUCAGCAUGUGGAUUAUUUUAUUGCUCUGGAGUCUGGAAGCUGACUAUGAUCUUGAUUAAAGUAGUGGUUUCUUCAUUGUUUCCUCACCACUUUUCCCUUCAUUCUAACUCACUUUUAAAAUUUUGUUACUAACCCAUAUUCUUAGAAUAUUAACAGGACUUGUUUUUUUCAGUAAGUGACCAGAAGUGACUAGCCUUCAUGCAAUUUUGAGAUGAAUUUUACUUGAGAUGCACUAACAUUCUAUGUUAUUCUAGACUAUACAAAUUAAGUGGUAAGCAGCUACAAAGAUGGCAAGACCAUGCUAUUGAAAAAGUUCAGAAAACAUACACCGUGGACCAGAGGUCAUAAUCCUAUCUAUGAAUGUGUUUUGUGUGGCCCAUGUAGUGUUGUAAAAAACAUUUAGAACCAUUAUUCUAAAAAAUGGGGAUAUUUCACAUUAAAGUUCAGAUUUCUGCUUCUUUUUUAAACAUCAGAGACUCUGGCUACACCGAGGCCUCUCUUCUUUCCUGGCAUCAGUCUGCAGGACCUAGUGGUGGUGGCUCACUUGGAAGGAGCCUUGUGCUCUCCACUUUGCCACAGUACCACUGCCGCCGUACUGCUCACUUAUGUCAUCCACUUGGCCCUUGUAUGACCUGAAUUUGCAACCUCGGUAUACUAUUACGUCCUGGAAAAAAUAUUCAAAGACCUGCCAAGUACUGCAUUAGUAUUCUGAGUUUAUACAGCAUUUUUGUAGGGUUUUCAGUUGUAUUCAAGGUCACUUUCUAAGCGCUUCUUGGUUUUGCUUUUCUAGAAGAAAAUGAAAAGCUAUUCCUUAUAAUAAACAUGGCGGCAAGUAAACAUUGUGAUUGUGAAAAAAAUAUUAUUUAUAGAUUUUCUACAAAUUAAUAUUUGUCUACCAAGUAAAAUAUUUUGACUGAAAUUAUUCUUUGAAAUGCAUAUUGAUUCAUGCGUAUUUUAAAAAAUUGAGGUAUAAUUUUCACAAAAUUCUCCAAUUUUCAGCGUCGAAUUCAGUGAAUUUUGAAAACAAUAUAUAUAAUUGUGUGUCUGCCACAGUGAUCGUAAUACAGAACACUUUCUUCACCCUGAAAACGUCUCAUUUUUUUCUUUUGCAGUCAAUCCCCUGCUCCUAUCCUUGACCCCAGCAAACAGUGGUUUGCUUUCUAUCAUUAGUUCUGCUGUUUGAGAAUUUCAUAUAAAUGGAAUCAUCCUGCAAUGUGUCAUCUAUUGUGCCUGACUUCUUUCACUUAGCAUUUUGAGAAAAGCAUUUAUACUAUUUACAGAUUGUCGACAAAUAUUUAUCCACAAGUAAAAUGUUAGACUGAAAUGAUUCUUUGACAAGCUUGCCAAUUUUACUGAUUUUGUCAAAGAAAAAUAUGUUUUUUUUGAAGUUUGUUCAUCCUUUGAGCGUGUGAGUGUAGUAUCAGAGGCUUAAUUUUGUGUUUAUGGAGCUAUUCUAACUUGUUAUUUAGAAGGAAAAAGGUAUUAAACGUGAAGCAAACUUCUCACGAUCUCAUUUGAAUUCUUUCCAGCUUCUUUUAGUAUUUAUAGAUUUUAUAUACUUUGUGGGAACAUUUUAUCCUCACCAAGUUUUUGGACUUUCAUUUUUGUGUCAUAAAUACUGGUACUGAAAGGAAAAAGAGAGAGUCUUAAUUCAAUAGUCUGUUAUUCACGUUGCAAGAGCUAUAGUUUUAGCUCUGCUCCAAAGCUGUAAAACCUUUGGACCUUGUUUUAACACCAGUUUAAUUAUUGGACUCCUUUUUAAACAAAGGAUGAGUCUGCAAAUUUUAACAAUAACACACCUUGUGAGAACAAAAAUGAAGGAGUAUGAACAUCAAACUUUGACUUCAUUACUACAGUUGGUUUAGCCAGCUGACCUGUUGGACUUACAUAUUUUAGAGCAUUUUCAUUCAGAGCUUCCUAUAUUAUUUUUAUAACUUGUAAGAAUUUUGUGGGUUUUUUUUUCUAUCACAUUCUUUUCAUAGGCUUAAAGUCUUUUAGGACUCUCGGUAAUAAUGCUUAGGCAAAGCGGUGCAGCUAACAUUUGUUGAGUAGUAUAUGUUACUCUGUGCUAUGCUUUUUACUUACUGCAUUUAAUCCUUGCAUAACCCUGAGAGAUAGAUACAACCUUCAUUUAAUAGUUGAGAAAGCUGAAGCCCAGGGGACUAUUUUGUCUGUAAACACACAACAAGUUUCGAAACUAGGAUGCAGUUUCCUGACUCCAUAGCCCAUGCUGUAUUUUAUGUAAAAACAUGGAAAACAGAGCAAAUGACUAAGGAUCUCUCAAGUGAUAGGAUUACACUCUAGCUUUCCCCAUCGAGCUCUUUUGCCUUUACGUGCUUAACUGCUAAUGCCACUCAAGAAACUGGGGGAAUUGUGCCUCAUAACGUCAUAUCCUUGGAAUUCUUGGCCUUUCUCUGACACUCUUUCACCCUUCUACAUGAGAUCCAGUAGAGUAAAAUCACAACACAAAACACACAAAAGCACAACUACUCUUGGAAACAGAUUCUCUUUAAAAAACUUGAUCCUUUUUAUCAUUUGUCCUCCUUUCUUCCUCAGCCUUUAUUUGUGUCCUCUAGUCAAAGUAUGACCCAGUUUUUCUUUUCUCUUGGCCGCUGUAGACACAGGGUCUUUUUUGUACCUAAAUCAGUAAGUUCAGUGUGGCACAGUCAGUGUAAUCUAAAGCCAACUUGUGUAGGUUUGAACCCAACUGACUUUUGACUUUGAGCAAGUUAAUUAAAUCUUUAGGCCUUGGUGUCCAUUCAUGCAUAUAGGCAAUAAUAAUACUACCUCAUAGAGUUAUGAGGAUUAAAUGAGUUAAUACAUGCAAGGCACUUGUAAUAGUGCUUGGAAUAUUUUAAGCACUCCAAAAAUGUGACACUUUUUUUUUUAAAUUUCAGGUCAAAAAGUUCUUAUCACAGUCUGGACUGUCAUUCAGGGAACACACUGGAAAUUAAAUGUUAAUUCCAUCCCUUUGCCCGAGCAUAUUAAACUGCCCAUACAGUUUUUCUGUCUAAACAUCCUUUUUUUCUUACUCUGUUUCUUGUUUGUAACCUGCACCUGAUUUCAUACAUGAGGUAGCUGUGAAAUCUCCUCUCCCAUUGUGGUCCUGCCUGAGAAACAAAUUAAAACAAGGGCCACAUGUGGCUUUGGGCUUCGUGUUUUGAUUGCCUCCUGCCAUGCUGACUAAGCUGUGUGGCUACUCUACAUUGCUCUUUGUUGAAUUCCACAGGUGCUAAAUAGGUCGCCUUUUAGCGACGAUGUUUCUUCCAUGUUCAGAGACUUUGGGCCCAUGCCACAUAAAUUUGGUUCAAAAUAGAUGUGUUACGCUUUGCUGCAGGUGUUAGGAAGUUGAUCUUUAUGUGCCACCCAGGGAAUUUUCCAGUUGAUAAGGCACAGACCAAGUAAAGAAGGCCUAUUUCUGCAGAUGGCCUGAAAGGCACCAAUGGGAUAGGUUUCUUCUCUUGAAUGCCAACCUUUGAGAGGCCAACAUCACCAUGGGCGAGUGGCCUUAAGCCUAGUCCAUGACACUGGGGAUAUAGGUCUGGAUCUAGAUCUGGGUAUAGCUUUAGUUCUGCCUUUGCUCUGUCCUUGCAGGAGGCUCUCUUUACCUUGUCCUGUUCUAGUCCUCUAAAUACUAUGAUGCAAACUCAUUCUCACAAGAGAAUCAUUGGCUCCCAAAUCUUACCGUCUCAGACUUACUACCCAAGAGACACAUAUCUUUUGAGCAUUUUUAUGUAUUCAGCUUCAGGCAGAUGCUGGCUUUUCUCCUGAUAUGAUUGAGAGGAUUAUAAUCACUUCAGAGGACCUUCCCUUCCCUGAAGAUGCUGUCCGAUUUACCUCAUUUGAUUCAUGUCUUGCACCAUUGGCCUACCAUACCUUGGGGCAACCUGCCAGAGGACUAUUUUCUAUAAAUUUAAGCUGAACUAAUAUCUGUGGAAAUCUUAAGACUAAAGAAGAGUUGAUGAAUAUACUACAAUUAAAGUUGCCUUGUGAAUUGAAGAAUGAAGCAAAGGAUAAUGAACAUAUUGAAAUGAUUCCACAUGUUUUAUGCAUGACACAUUUGUAAUUAAAACAGAUCCUGAAGCUAUUCCCACUAAGUGCUCGGCAUUGGGCUAGGACAUGCUGCUCACUAUUGCGAGUGAUUGUAGCAACUCAGUUUUGAAUAUUUACAUAUGUUGAGGUGAAGAAUCUUCCUUGACUACAUCUGAGGAGUUAUGGAAUCAUCAGAAGGAAGUCUUUCUAACAACACACUACAGUAAGAUGCGUUUCUGAUCCAAGCUGCCGUGGAUCCAUGUCAGGAGAAGCCUUCAGUUGUGUUUUAAUAAAUAGAAACCCAGAAGGGCUAAGAAAUCUGCAGCAACCUGGAAAAAUCAACUCCUUUCCCCCUGGAAACUGCUAGUUUCUUAAACACCCACAUUUGCAUUUAGUUUUGGGAAUUUAUAUUGUUUCGGUAAAAGCUUUGGAACGUACAGUUUCCCUGCCAUAAAUCUUCACCAUCUCUGCCAUUCUCCUUCUGUUGUGUCAACCCUUGCUCCUCAUUUUACAGGUAAUUGCCCCUUCAAUUUUACAAGAUUGUUAAUUUUACAAGAUUAAUUGUCCCUUCCUUCUGGAAGCUUCCAUGACCUCUCAAGAAUGGGUUAAGGGCUUCCUUAAGCACUACCAGAACAGCUCAGACUUCCCCAUCAUGACACUCACUGCUCUGCAUUGUAUUCUAACUGUCUGCUUGCUUGUCUCUGCCUUACUGGACUAUAAAUUCCCAGGGCUAGACUCCAUUUCUCUUUUGUGUAUUAUUUUUUCUCCAGGUACAAACUAGGCUUCAAGAAAUAUUUGUUGAAUAAAAAAAGUGCGAAUACACUUAUUUAAGUUAUAGUUACUCUAAAUACUCUGAUACAAUUUUGGUGAAAAAAGAAACCAUGGCUUAAGUUAUAGAUAUAAUAGUUUUUUAAAAGUUUAUAUCAAUAUAUUUGUAAUGAGGAUGUUAUGCACUCUAAUCUCCUGCAAUGAAUUAUUUGCUAAUGUAUUAGCAGGUACAUUGUAAAAAAUCAAACUAAUAUCAAUACUGUUUGUAAAAUUUAUAGGUAUGAUUUACUAAUGUAUUGAUAGUCUAUUGUAGUCAGUGGUUUCUAGAGUAUACUCUUUUGCUGUGCUGGCUAUUUACAGUGUAUUAUGUUUUUGUAAUAAAAUAUCAAAAUAUUA